GUGAUUAAAUCGAGCGUGUCUUCAUUGACCGCUCACCCUUCUCACCAUCCACAUACACCUGAGCCACUGUUUAGGCCUGAGCCGGUUUUCCGGUCCAGGUUAUCAAUUUCAUACAAACUCUAGUCUUAUGAAUGUAAACGUUUUAAUAACAUAAU
rnacentral:misc_RNA from 1 species